rnacentral:tRNA from 1 species
UGGCUCAGAGGUUAAAGCGUCUGUCUGCAAGGCAGGAGACCUGGGUUCGAUCCCUG